rnacentral:rRNA from 1 species
AACGCUGGCGGUAGGCCUAACCCAUGCAAGUCGAACGGCAGCACAGUAAGAGCUUGCUCUUACGGGUGGCGAGUGGCGGACGGGUGAGGAAUACAUCGGAAUCUACUUUUUCGUGGGGGAUAACGUAGGGAAACUUACGCUAAUACCGCAUACGACCUACGGGUGAAAGCAGGGGAUCUUCGGACCUUGCGCGAUUGAAUGAGCCGAUGUCGGAUUAGCUAGUUGGCGGGGUAAAGGCCCACCAAGGCGACGAUCCGUAGCUGGUCUGAGAGGAUGAUCAGCCACACUGGAACUGAGACACGGUCCAGACUCCUGCGGGAGGCAGCAGUGGGGAAUAUUGGACAAUGGGCGCAAGCCUGAUCCAGCCAUACCGCGUGGGUGAAGAAGGCCUUCGGGUUGUAAAGCCCUUUUGUUGGGAAAGAAAAGCAGCAGGUUAAUACCCCGCUGUUCUGACGGUACCCAAAGAAUAAGCACCGGCUAACUUCGUG